GGGGGGGGGGGGGGGGGGGGGGGGGGGGGGGAGGGGGGGGGGGAGGGGGGGGGGGGGUGGCGCUGGCGGGUGGCGGGGGGCGGGCGGGUGGGGAAUGCGUCGGGAUCGCCCUUUUCGUGGGGGGUAACGGAGGGCAACUUACGCUGGUACCGCAUCCGACCUACGGGGGGAAGCAGGCGGUCUUCGGACCUCGCGCGAUUUGUUGAGCCGAGGUCGGAGUAGCUAGUUGGCUGGGUAAAGGGCCACAAAGGCGACGAUCCGUAGCUGGUCUGUGAGGAUGAUCAGCCACACUGGAACUGAGACACGGUCCAGACUCCUACGGGAGGCAGCAGUGGGGAAUGUUGGACAAUGGGCGCAAGCCUGAUCCAGCCAUACCGCGUGGGUGAAGAAGGCCUUCGGGUUGUAAAGACCUUUUGUUGGGAAAGAAAAGCAGCAGGUUAAUACCCCGCUGUUCUGACGGUACCCAAAGAAUAAGCACCGGCUAACUUCGUG
rnacentral:rRNA from 1 species